CAGCGCCACAAGUGGCAAUCGCGUUUAUUGGGCCUAAAGCGUCCGUAGCAGGUUUGGUAAAUCUUUUGUGAAAUCGUUAGGCUUAACCUAACGGAUUGCAGGAGACACUGCCAGACUAGGGACCGGGAGGAGUCAGAAGUAUUCUGGGGGGACCGGUAAAAUGGUAUAAUCCCCAGAGGACUGCCGAUGGCGAAGGCAUCUGACCAGAACGGAUCCGACUGUGAGGGACGAAAGCUAGGGGAGCGAACCGGAUUAGAUACCCGCGUAGUCC
rnacentral:rRNA from 1 species